CCCAGUAGUGGGGGACAACCCGGGGAAACCCGCUAAUACCGCAUACGCCCUACGGGGAAAGCGGGGGACUUUCGGGCCUCGCGCUAUUGGAUGAGCCUGCGUCGGAUUAGCUUGUUGGUAUGGUAACGGCAUACCAAGGCGACGAUAGGUAGGGGCCCUGAGAGGGGGAUCCCCCACACUGGUACUGAGACACGGACCAGACUCCUACGGGAGGCAGCAGUGGGGAAUAUUGGACAAUGGGCGCAAGUGAUCCAGCCAUGCCGCGUGAGUGAAGAAGGCCUUAGGGUUGUAAAGCUCUUUCAGCGGGGAAGAUGAUGACGGUACCCGCAGAAGAAGCCCCGGCUAACUCCGUGCCAGCAGCCGCGGUAAUACGGAGGGGGCAAGCGUUGUUCAGAAUUACUGGGCGUAAAGGGCGCGCAGGGGCCGGCCGCGUCAGGUGUGAAAGCCCCGGGCUCAACCUGGGAACUGCACUUGAUACGGGUCGGCUUGAGGGCGAGAGAGGAGUGUGGAAUUCCCAGUGUAGAGGUGAAAUUCGUAGAUAUUGGGAAGAACACCGGUGGCGAAGGGGCACUCUGGCUCGUUACUGACGCUGAGGCGCGAAAGUGGGGAGCAAACAGGAUUAGAUACCCUGGUAGUCCACGCCGUAAACGAUGUGCGCUAGCGUCGGGCAGCAUGCUGUUCGGUGGCGCAAACGCGAUAAGCGCACCGCCUGGGGAGUACGGCCGCAAGUUAAAACUC
rnacentral:rRNA from 1 species